UUCUUAUCUAGAGAGACGGAGGGAUUUGGCCCUAUGAAGUCUCAGCAACCAGUCUGACGAAGACUACGGUGCUAAAUCCAAUAGGCUUUGCCUAGCAGAUGAGAA
rnacentral:ncRNA from 2 species